rnacentral:lncRNA from 1 species
CUGGUAAAUAGCUGUCCAUCUGAUGGCCUUUGACAGGGAACCUAAUCCCCAAGAUAGGAUUCUUUUUCUUAAACCAAUCUUGAAAUCGCCUGCAUUGAAACAUAAGUGGCUGUGACCGGCCAGAGAGAAGGUCCUCAGGGGCCAGGGGCUCCUCAGGCUUCCUUUGUUACUCCAUUGCUUGCUUCUCUGCCCUUAGGAGCAGCUGCAGAGGACAGUCUUCAUUAAGCUCAAGCAUAUGACAAAGGGGCAGAACAGAGAAGAAAAACAGCUUAUUAGCUUUUGAAGACCAAACUGCAAAUACAUUACCAGGGAUGGUUUUGUGUUGUCCUAUAGACUUCUUAAAUUUGACAAAAAAUUUAGCAGAACUUGUAACCAACAGCUUUGUCUGAACUUGAAGUCAAAAUGUGUUGUUAAUAAGAGAUUCUAACUAUUGCUUUUACCUUCAGUGUGAACUAGUGUGGUAACAACUUUGAAAAGGCAGGCCGGGUGCGGUGGCUCACGCCUGUAAUCCCAGCACUUUGGGAGGCCAAGGCGGGUGGAUCACUUGAGGUCAGAAGUUUGAGACCAGCCUGGCCAACAUGGCGAAACCCCAUCUCUACUAAAAAUACAAAAAACUAGCCGGGUAUGGUGGCACAUGCCUGUGAUCCCGGCUACCCAGGAGGCUGAGGCAGG